GCACAUUAACACAGAACACACAAAGGUUAAAAUUAAUGAUCAUGAACUGAUGACAAAAAAUAUCUAAAAUAUGCAAACCAGGGGACUAAGGAUGUCUGUUCUUAACAUAUGAAUAUAUGUACCUCAACUUGGAGUCUUGAGGUCUGAACAGUAGAAAUAGAAGAGAAAGAAUAGGUUACCAUUGCAAAUACAAAAUUGUACUGAAGCUAAAUGAGAAAAGAAUGAAUUUCAAGUGCUUACCUUCCAAAUAUUAAUGAGACUUAAGGAUGGUUCUCUAGUUUAUCUUGCAUUAAACAUUAUUACUGCAAAAGGAAAAAUAUGAGGAUUAGUGUUGGUAAAAACUACUUGCAUUAA
rnacentral:lncRNA from 1 species